UACGUAGGGGGCUAGCGUUGUCCGGAAUCAUUGGGCGUAAAGCGCGUGUAGGCGGUCCGGUAAGUCCGCUGUGAAAGUCGGGGGCUCAACCCUCGGAUGCCGGUGGAUACUGUCGGGCUUGAGUACGGAAGAGGCGAGUGGAAUUCCUGGUGUAGCGGUGAAAUGCGUAGAUAUCUGGAGGAACACCGGUGGCGAAGGCGACAUCCUGGACCGGUAUUGACGCUGAGGCGCGAAAGCCAGGGGAGCAAACGGG
rnacentral:rRNA from 1 species